UACGUAGGGUGCGAGCGUUGUCCGGAAUUAUUGGGCGUAAAGAGCUCGUAGGCGGUUUGUCGCGUCGACUGUGAAAACCUACAGCUUAACUGUGGGCUUGCAGUCGAUACGGGCAGACUUGAGUUCGGUAGGGGAGACUGGAAUUCCUGGUGUAGCGGCGAAAUGCGCAGAUAUCAGGAGGAACACCGGUGGCGAAGGCGGGUCUCUGGGCCGAUACUGACGCUGAGGAGCGAAAGCGUGGGGAGCGAACAGG
rnacentral:rRNA from 1 species